UCCCGUUCGAGCGGUAUGGUCGGCCAGUUAUCGACGACGGCGAGGCGGAAGCCGGUGGGAAUCCGGCACGGUCGCGCCACUGUGUGCCACUCACGCAUUGCGGGGUGGUGAGUCAGACCCGUGACCGUCGUCAUGUGCACCAC
rnacentral:ncRNA from 19 species